AGAGUUUGAUCAUGGCUCAGGAUGAACGCUAGCGGCAGGCUUAAUACAUGCAAGUCGAGGGGCAGCGCAGUGUAGCAAUACAUGGGCGGCGACCGGCAAACGGGUGCGGAACACGUACGCAACCUUCCCAAAACUGGGGGAUAGCUUUCGGAAACGAAAAUUAAUACCCCGUAACACAGUGAGAUGGCAUCAUCUUAUUGUUAUAGUUCCGACGGUUUUGGAUGGGCGUGCGCCUGAUUAGGUAGUUGGCGGGGUAAUGGCCCACCAAGCCUACGAUCAGUAACUGGUGUGAGAGCACGACCAGUCACACGGGCACUGAGACACGGGCCCGACUCCUACGGGAGGCAGCAGUAAGGAAUAUUGGUCAAUGGACGCAAGUCUGAACCAGCCAUGCCGCGUGGAGGAUGAAGGUCCUCUGGAUUGUAAACUUCUUUUAUCGGAGAAGAAACCCUCGCAUUCUUGUGGGGUUGACGGUACCCGAUGAAUAAGCACCGGCUAACUCCGUGCCAGCAGCCGCGGUAAUACGGAGGGUGCAAGCGUUAUCCGGAUUCACUGGGUUUAAAGGGUGCGUAGGCGGGUUGGUAAGUCAGUGGUGAAAUCUUCAAGCUUAACUUGGAAACUGCCGUUGAUACUAUCAAUCUUGAAUGUUGUGGAGGUAAGCGGAAUAUGUCAUGUAGCGGUGAAAUGCUUAGAUAUGACAUAGAACACCGAUAGCGAAGGCAGCUUGCUACACAAUCAUUGACGCUGAGGCACGAAAGCGUGGGGAUCAAACAGGAUUAGAUACCCCAGUAGUCC
rnacentral:rRNA from 1 species